ACCCAGUGGCCCAAGCCCACCUAGGCAUACCCCUUCGACCCCUUCCAUCGUUGUCUUCUUCACCUUUACAGGUCACCGAGCGCACGAGAGAAGGGUGAGCUCCUCCCCGCUGCCGUGGUCCUCCCCUCCACGUUCCACCACAACCACUCCCUCCACCUCUCUUUUAAUCCCCAUCCGAGCCACAGAAACCCUAGCAUAUUUCCUCCCUCGCGCCGCCACCGUUCUCCUCUUCAUCUCCCUCGAUUUUUCUUCUUCUCUGUGAACCACCGAACAACACCACCACCUCCCCACCAUGGCGCCACCGCUACCGACGCUCCCUCGCCGAGCUGAUACCACCAGAAGAACGGCAUCAUCGUCCUCGUCUUCCCCCUGCAAGGAAUCGAACCGGAGCCCUCUAAAUCUCCGGCGAAUUCGCCGAUUCCGUCUUCAAGUCCGGCGAGCAAAUCUUCAAUUCCGGCGACGCCGGUGACCCCUUGGUGUCGGCUCCGCUACCUCAUGUUUCCCCAAGUCAGGGCGCACCUUCGACGCCCUGUACUUCGUCCCGGUUCGCCCGGGAGCUCCAGGUCCGUGCUCGACCAGUGACGUCCGCCAUGGCUGCCUCCGUGAGCUCCGCCUCUACCUCCUUCAUGUUGCUGCGAGCCCUCCUCUUGACACGAUCCGACCAGUAGCAUACUGAUCUGGCGCUGAGAGUUGGUUUACCUUGCGCAUGAGAUCUUCCUAAUCGUCAAUAUCAUAUCCGCCGACGGGCCUUGAUCCGGUGUCUCGCCGACUGGGCCUCAGCCCACGUGCGCCCCAGCUUCUUCGUCGCCCAGCGUGCGAUGGGCCUCUAUCCGUUGCUCAGCAUUUGCUUCUUCUCGGAUAGGAUCGCGAAGUGGUGCGGUGAGAUACGACAAGUUCUCCGGAUGUUCCUCGGCAAGCUUUAACA